rnacentral:ribozyme from 1 species
AAAACGGGAGCAAGGUGAAAGUGGAAAGGAUGGUCGUAACACGUAUUUUCUUUUAAAAAAAUUUCAUUCACGACUUUUUUUGCCUCUGCUUCUUUCCCUGCUAACUCGGUUAUCUCUUUUGCAUAAGAGGGAUAGCCAAGGACCUGGGUUUAA